UACAGAGGUCUCAAGCGUUGUUCGGAUUCAUUGGGCGUAAAGGGUGCGUAGGCGGCGCGGUAAGUCGGGUGUGAAAUCUCAGGGCUCAACCCUGAAACUGCAUUCGAUACUGCCUGGCUAGGGUACUGGAGAGGAGACUGGAAUUUACGGUGUAGCAGUGAAAUGCGUAGAUAUCGUAAGGAAGACCAGUGGCGAAGGCGAGUCUCUGGACAGUUACCGACGCUGAGGCACGAAGGUCAGGGGAGCAAACGGG
rnacentral:rRNA from 1 species